UAUAACUCCUGUCUGCUCCAGCACUGACCAUGAAGCUCUCUAAAAUAACUGGCAGAUGUUAUGUAAUAUUCAUCAUUGCCUUGAUAUGUGACGUUGCUGGAUUUAUAAUGUUGCUCCUGGGCAUUCUUGCUAAGUUUGAAUCGUUUGACUUUUUUAUCUACUCUGGGGCUGUGGUUAUCGCACUGAGCCUUGUCUUCUGGAUGCUCUGGUACACGUUCAACGUGGAAAUUACCUAUGAAGAACUGGGCCUAGAUUUGUAAAUGAUUCCCCUGGCACUUGCUGACAAUAGGUGCAAUAUGCAGAAGGUUACAGUGCAAGUCUAUCGGGUUCUUUACAGAAGAUCAUCUUGAGAAAACUGUGGUGAAAUUACUCAUUUUUUUAUUUUGAAGGAAAUAUUUUUUUUUAUCAAUGUGUUACUUGAAGAAAACAUUUUUUUAUAUGAUGGCGGAUAUGAAGGAUAUUUAUUAAGGUUACAAUAAAAGAAAAUGACAGCAACCACAACUACUGAUAUAGAAAAGAAUUGGAAGUGAAUGGAACAAGAUAAGUGAAGAAUUACAAGAUUAAACUAAAUGCAGUGCCAUGGAGUGGCGUCUACUGAAUAUAAACUGAGUUCAGCAUCUACGUGCCAGCCUGAAUAUGCAUCGUCAGCACAGGGUGUAUAAAGCUAGCUGCAAACACUAUGGCUUCAUAUUCUCCAGGACCGAAGCUGAGUGAUUAUCAAAUCCUCACUGACAUGGAGAGAAAUCAUGGCAAAAAAACAGGGGGUUCUCAGCAUUAAAGUGUAACGUAGAUGUCUCGCCUUCACCCUGUAUAGCGAGAUAAACUAAACUAAAAUUUGCCUCUAAAAUUCUUUAAGAGCUCCGACAGUACCGAAGAAUCUUCUUAGAUAAUCUCGUUAGACCACCGCUCAUCCACUGAUCGGCCUAUUUCCUCUGAUUCUACAGCCCAGAACAACGGAAAUGAAAGCACUUACCUUCACCCAUGAAGACUUAUUACCUGCUCCGCUAAAUCACUCACCAGUGCCAAAACACAACCUGCUUUUCUCCAUAAGGACAUCUGCAAUCACAAAAUACAUUUCAAAUGUUGAAGGAUGUAGAGAAAAAUAUGAAGUACAAAAGAAAUUAUCUACCUCACCUUAUUGACUGCAACGUGAAGGAUUUGUGGAAUGAAAACACUAACAAAAAAAGCAUUUUAUAAUAUAAACUUCACAACAAUUUGUUCUAUAAAUUACCUAUUAUCCAUAAUAAUUUCAAUACAUGUACAUUUCUGUAUCAGAUCUAAUAUAUAUAUAUAUAUAUAUACACACUGAUAUACACUGAUAAUAAGCAUGCUGCACUUUAUAAUUAUAUUGUGUAUACGCUGGCAGUGAUGUGAGGUUCUAUAUACCCUGAGUACACUGCUCUGUAUAAAUAUCAUACAUAUGCUG